rnacentral:rRNA from 1 species
GAUGAACGCUGGCGGCGUGCCUAAUACAUGCAAGUCGAGCGAACAGACGAGGAGCUUGCUCCUCUGACGUUAGCGGCGGACGGGUGAGUAACACGUGGAUAACCUACCUAUAAGACUGGGAUAACUUCGGGAAACCGGAGCUAAUACCGGAUAAUAUAUUGAACCGCAUGGUUCAAUAGUGAAAGACGGUUUUGCUGUCACUUAUAGAUGGAUCCGCGCCGCAUUAGCUAGUUGGUAAGGUAACGGCUUACCAAGGCAACGAUGCGUAGCCGACCUGAGAGGGUGUUCGGCCACACUGGAACUGAGACACGGUCCAGACUCCUACGGGAGGCAGCAGUAGGGAAUCUUCCGCAAUGGGCGAAAGCCUGACGGAGCAACGCCGCGUGAGUGAUGAAGGUCUUCGGAUCGUAAAACUCUGUUAUUAGGGAAGAACAAAUGUGUAAGUAACUAUGCACGUCUUGACGGUACCUAAGCAGAAAGCCACGGCUAACUACGU